rnacentral:rRNA from 1 species
UUUAGAGGAGCCUGCCCUGUAAACGAUGAGCCACGAGUACUUUACUUUUUCUUGAUAUCAGUUUGUAUACCGCUGUUGUCAGUUAGUUUCCUUAGAAAACUUUCAUAUAUGAGAUAGUCAUAGACUUCAAGUAAAGGUGCAGCUUAUGAAAAAGAAAGAGGUGGGCUACAUUUAGAGGAAUAAAACGGAUAAAAUUUAUGAAAUAAUUUUUGAAGGUGGAUUUAAUUGUAAAGUUUAAAAAAACUUGAUGAGAGC